rnacentral:rRNA from 1 species
UACGUAGGGUGCGAGCGUUGUCCGGAAUUAUUGGGCGUAAAGAGCUCGUAGGCGGUCUGUCGCGUCGGUCGUGAAAACUUGGGGCUUAACCCUGAGCUUGCGGUCGAUACGGGCAUGACUGGAGUUCGGUAGGGGAGACUGGAAUUCCUGGUGUAGCGGUGAAAUGCGCAGAUAUCAGGAGGAACACCGGUGGCGAAGGCGGGUCUCUGGGCCGAUAUCGACGCUGAGGAGCGAAAGCGUGGGGAGCGAACAGG